rnacentral:snRNA from 1 species
AUCGCUUCUUGGCCUUUUGGCUAAGAUCAAGUUGUAGUCGCUAUUCUUAUCAGUUUAAUAUCAAUAACAAAACAACCAAAUCAAAACGUGGACAAAGCACUU